rnacentral:rRNA from 1 species
CGCCUGUUUAACAAAAACAUGUCCUUUUGAGUGAAUAUGAGGUCUAGCCUGCCCACUGAUAAUUAAAUGGCCGCAGUAUUUUAACUGUGCAAAGGUAGCAUAAUCAUUAGUCUUUUAAUUGAAGGCUGGAAUGAAUGGCUGGACGAGAUAUUAGCUGUUUCAUUUUAAUUUGGAAUAGAAUUUUAUUUUUCAGUAAAAAAGCUGAAAUGAUUUUAAAAGACGAGAAGACCCUAUAAAUCUUUAUAGUUAAGCUGAUAUAAUUUUUUAGAUAUUUUGUGUUAUGUUAGUGAAUACUAUUUUAUUGGGGUGAUAUUAAAAUUUAUAAAACUUUUAGUUUUUGGUUACAUUAAUUAAUGAAAAUUUGAUCCGUUAAUAGCGAUUAGAAAAUUAAGUUACUUUAGGGAUAACAGCGUAAUUUUUUUGGAGAGUUCUUAUCGAUAAAAGGGAUUGCGACCUCGAUGUUGGAUUAAGAGAUGGAUUUAGGUGUAGCAGCUUAGAGUCCAAGUCUGUUCGACUUUUAAAAUCUUACAUGAUCUGAGUUCAAACCGG